GGAGCCGUGUCAGAGUGGUCUAACGUACCUCUUUGCUAAAGAGGCAGGGGCUUUAAAACCCCUCGACGGUUCGAAUCCGUCCGGCUCCG
rnacentral:tRNA from 1 species